ACCAAACGAAUGCACUCUGAGAAACUGCAGUUCUCAGUCAACAACUCUUCUUCUGACUAAUUAUCUUCUGCUGUAACCAAAGCUCUGUACUUUAUGGUGUUUCAGGAGGAAAACUAACUUAGUGAUAUUUACUCCAUCAGCUUCGUAUUAAACACUGGAACAAAGAGAAGAUACUUUGUUCAUGUUUGUUUAUUCAUCAUGUAAACCUUCAGUUCAUUCUUACAUCCAUCAGUAAAAGCUUUCAUAUUCCUCUUGAUCAGUGGUUUCAUGUACAGAUUCACUUUAUUCACACAUUAAUAUUUCAGAUCAGAACAUCAUUUAUGAAAAAAAAAUGAUUCAGCAUUGAUAGCGAUGAUCAAAAGUACACAAAAAAGAAAAUGUCUACAAAUCCAGAACCAAGAGCUCAAUAUCGUUGUCGAUUUCUUUGCCUCUUUAGAUCGAUUCAGUGGAAGAUAAAGAACAGUAUUAACGUAUGAAGACAAAUAUCGGGCUCACCGAGAAGCUCUUGCGACAGCUGACAGCGAGGUGAGCUCUCUUUCCCACUCUCCCCACCCCC